rnacentral:rRNA from 1 species
AAAUUGAAGAGUUUGAUCAUGGCUCAGAUUGAACGCUGGCGGCAGGCCUAACACAUGCAAGUCGAGCGGUAGCACAGAGAGCUUGCUCUCGGGUGACGAGCGGCGGACGGGUGAGUAAUGUCUGGGAAACUGCCUGAUGGAGGGGGAUAACUACUGGAAACGGUAGCUAAUACCGCAUAACGUCGCAAGACCAAAGUGGGGGACCUUCGGGCCUCAUGCCAUCAGAUGUGCCCAGAUGGGAUUAGCUAGUAGGUGGGGUAACGGCUCACCUAGGCGACGAUCCCUAGCUGGUCUGAGAGGAUGACCAGCCACACUGGAACUGAGACACGGUCCAGACUCCUACGGGAGGCAGCAGUGGGGAAUAUUGCACAAUGGGCGCAAGCCUGAUGCAGCCAUGCCGCGUGUGUGAAGAAGGCCUUCGGGUUGUAAAGCACUUUCAGCGGGGAGGAAGGCGGUGAGGUUAAUAACCUCAUCGAUUGACGUUACCCGCAGAAGAAGCACCGGCUAACUCCGUGCCAGCAGCCGCGGUAAUACGGAGGGUGCAAGCGUUAAUCGGAAUUACUGGGCGUAAAGCGCACGCAGGCGGUCUGUCAAGUCGGAUGUGAAAUCCCCGGGCUUAACCUGGGAACUGCAUUCGAAACUGGCAGGCUAGAGUCUUGUAGAGGGGGGUAGAAUUCCAGGUGUAGCGGUGAAAUGCGUAGAGAUCUGGAGGAAUACCGGUGGCGAAGGCGGCCCCCUGGACAAAGACUGACGCUCAGGUGCGAAAGCGUGGGGAGCAAACAGGAUUAGAUACCCUGGUAGUCUACGCCGUAAACGAUGUCGAUUUGGAGGUUGUGCCCUUGAGGCGUGGCUUCCGGAGCUAACGCGUUAAAUCGACCGCCUGGGGAGUACGGCCGCAAGGUUAAAACUCAAAUGAAUUGACGGGGGCCCGCACAAGCGGUGGAGCAUGUGGUUUAAUUCGAUGCAACGCGAAGAACCUUACCUGGUCUUGACAUCCACAGAACUUUCCAGAGAUGGAUUGGUGCCUUCGGGAACUGUGAGACAGGUGCUGCAUGGCUGUCGUCAGCUCGUGUUGUGAAAUGUUGGGUUAAGUCCCGCAACGAGCGCAACCCUUAUCCUUUGUUGCCAGCGGUCCGGCCGGGAACUCAAAGGAGACUGCCAGUGAUAAACUGGAGGAAGGUGGGGAUGACGUCAAGUCAUCAUGGCCCUUACGACCAGGGCUACACACGUGCUACAAUGGCAUAUACAAAGAGAAGCGACCUCGCGAGAGCAAGCGGACCUCAUAAAGUAUGUCGUAGUCCGGAUUGGAGUCUGCAACUCGACUCCAUGAAGUCGGAAUCGCUAGUAAUCGUAGAUCAGAAUGCUACGGUGAAUACGUUCCCGGGCCUUGUACACACCGCCCGUCACACCAUGGGAGUGGGUUGCAAAAGAAGUAGGUAGCUUAACCUUCGGGAGGGCGCUUACCACUUUGUGAUUCAUGACUGGGGUGAAGUCGUAACAAGGUAACCGUAGGGGAACCUGCGGUUGGAUCACCUCCUUA